rfam:Oryctolagus cuniculus chromosome 2, whole genome shotgun sequence.
GGUGCUGUGGCACAGCGGGUUAAUGCCCUGGCCUGAAGCGUCGGCAUCUCAUAUGGGCUCUGGGUUCUAGUCCCGGCUGCUCCA